CUCACCACAACAACAACAACCCUCACCACCCUCACCACCCUCACCACCACCACCCUCACCACACCGUGGCCACCUUGUGCCCGGGGCCGCUUGUCGCAGACGGAGCCGGCGGGGCCGCGGCCUUGCACACUCUGCUGGCCAACUUGCAGGCGCUGCUGGUGGUGGCUGUGGAGGCUUCCUGUGCCCACGAGCGGCAGGCCCAGCAGGAAUUGGCCGCGCUGCGCCACGAGGCGGUUCGGGAGCGGGGCCUCCGGCAGGAGGCGCAGCGCCGCCUGCACGGAGAGCAGCGAGCCCGUGCGGCACUCCACAAGCGCCUGCGUCGUGAGCGGCGUCUCAAGCUCCGCCUACAGGAGGCGCUGUUGGCGCGCGAGGCUCAGAGCCGCCUGCAGCGACACGACGAGGACGACGAGGAGG